AGGUGUCAGGUGAAAAUGCAAAUGAUUUCUUCUUUUUGCUUGUAGUUCUUCCAAUCAGCAGAACUAGAGUCAAUAUGUGAGAUUCAAGGGCAAACAGAUUUUUAUUCAACAUAAAGAUCAUUCUGCUUAUUAGAACUGUGCAAUGAUGAAAUAUAUGUAUGUAAGCAAAAACUACAAGAUCUUGCGGAGAGAGCAAAUUCCUGCACUGAAGCCCUUCACAGUGAAGAUGUCUGUGUCAACGGGCGAAGAAGACCAGACAGCUCCUGAAGAUGCUGCACACUGGGGACAGGCCAGAUGUGCAGUGUUCAGAGACAACAGCUGAACCGGGAGCCAUCGACGGUGAGGAAGGCUAACUGCAAGAGCAAUGACACAGGAAUCAGGUCUGACAUCAGCCCC